GAACGCUGGCGGAAUGCUUUACACAUGCAAGUCGAACGGUAGAGGGGGCAACCCCUCGAGAGUGGCGAACGGGUGAGUAAUAUAUCGGAACGUGCCCAGUCGUGGGGGAUAACGUAGCGAAAGUUACGCUAAUACCGCAUACGAUCUACGGAUGAAAGCGGGGGAUCGCAAGACCUCGCGCGAUUGGAGCGGCCGAUAUCAGAUUAGCUUGUUGGUGGGGUAAUGGCCUACCAAGGCGACGAUCAGUAGCUGGUCUGAGAGGAUGAUCAGCCACAAUGGGACUGAGACACGGCCCAUACUCCUACGGGAGGCAGCAGUAGGGAAUUUUGCGCAAUGGGCGAAAGCCUGACGCAGCAACACCGCGUGAGUGAAGAAGGCCUUCGGGUUGUAAAGCUCUUUCGGCUGGGAAGAAAUCGCACAGGCUAAUACUCUGUGUGGAUGACGGUACCAGCACAAGAAGCACCGGCUAACUACGUG
rnacentral:rRNA from 1 species